CGCUGGCGGCACGCCUUAUACAUGCAAGUCGAACGAAGUAGCAAUACUUAGUGGCAGACGGGUGAGUAACAUGUGGGUAUCUUCCCUUUGGUGAGGAAUAACACGAGGAAACUUGUGCUAAUACCUCAUAAGUCUUUACGGAGAAAGCUUUAUGCGCCAAUGGAUGAGCCCGCACUUGAUUAGUUUGUUGGUGGGGUAAUGGCUUACCAAGACUUUGAUCAAUAGCUGAUCUGAGAGGAUGAUCAGCCACAUUGGGACUGAGACACGGCCCAAACUCCUACGGGAGGCAGCAGUAGGGAAUAUUGCACAAUGGAGGAAACUCUGAUGCAGCGAUGCCGCGUGAGUGAAGAAGGCCCUUGGGUUGUAAAGCUCUUUCGUCGGGGAAGAAAAUGACUGUACCCGAAUAAGAAGGUCCGGCUAACUUCGUGCCAGCAGCCGCGGUAAUACGAAGGGACCUAGCGUAGUUCGGAAUUACUGGGCUUAAAGAGUUCGUAGGUGGUUAAAAAAGUUGGUUGUGAAAUCCCGGAGCUUAACUCCGGAACUGCAAUCAAAACUUUUUAGCUAGAGUAUGAUAGAGGAAAGCAGAAUUUCUAGUGUAGAGGUGAAAUUCGUAGAUAUUAGAAAGAAUACCAAUUGCGAAGGCAGCUUUCUGGAUCAUUACUGACACUGAGGAACGAAAGCAUGGGUAGCGAAGAGGAUUAGAUACCCUCGUAGUCCAUGCCGUAAACGAUGUGUGUUAGACGUUGGAAAUUUAUUUUUAGUGUCGCAGCGAAAGCAAUAAACACACCGCCUGGGGAGUACGACC
rnacentral:rRNA from 1 species